GUUUAUAUAGCUUAUAGAGAGUUUAAUAUUGAAGAUAUUAAGGAGUAAAAUUUUACUUUAAACA
rnacentral:tRNA from 1 species